rnacentral:lncRNA from 1 species
CCCAGGCAGGCAAAUCGCUCCUCACCCUCCUGUCCCUCCCGGGAUGGACAGAGCCUCAGCGGGGCUGCAGAGCCACAAGCCGCCGAGAAGAUGCUGGCUCCGUCCGUCCAUCCGCUCCUCUGGCUGCUCGGCUGCAUGCUGUUCCAAGGUACUACAACCUCCACCUCUGUCAGCACUGUAACAGGUCAAUCCCAAUCAACAACACAAAGCCCUGAAGUAAAGAACAAUAUCUCAGAGCCUUUAGUAAACUCAACACCACCAACCAACUUGAGUCUCACCUCUGUGGGUCAAGCUACUACAGCCAAAUCCUCUUCCAUCACUACAAAACUGCUAGAGCCAACUGCACAAGAUGAUAAGACUAGUGGAAGCAGAAGCACAGCAGCUUCAUCAUCUCAAGGUCAAGAGCCCAAGAGAAGUGAGAGUACCACAACACCAGCAACUCAAGGUGCUUCCUCCUUUCUCAGAGACAUGGUUAUCACUAGAUGCUUUACAGCCCUUUUCACAGCCAACAGCAAGGCCAACAUACUGCUAUCUUCAAGGCAGCAUGGUGAACGGCCAAUGCUGGCCAUCCCAUCUAGCCCUUGAAAAGCCUGUAAAGCUCCACAGAAGGAGCACAUUGAAGCAACCUGUUGAGCCUGGGAACAGUGGUUGUGAGUCACAGCAGGAAAGGUGACACUAUGGCAAAAGGCUGUAAAAUGAGGAAGACGGGACAAGCCUCCCCCUCCGAUACACUGCCAG